GUGAGGAAUAUUGCACAAUGGGCGAAAGCCUGAUGCAGCAACGCCGCGUGAGGGACGAAGGCCUUCGGGUCGUAAACCUCUUUUCUGGGGGAAGAGAUCAGGACGGUACCUCAGGAAUAAGUCUCGGCUAACUACGUGCCAGCAGCCGCGGUAAAACGUAGGAGGCGAGCGUUAUCCGGAUUUACUGGGCGUAAAGCGCACGCAGGCGGCUCCGUUAGUCGGACGUGAAAGCUCCUGGCUUAACUGGGAGAGGCCGUUCGAUACUGCGGGGCUUGAGGUUGGGAGAGGGGUGUGGAAUUCCCGGUGUAGUGGUGGAAUGCGUAGAGAUCGGGAGGAACACCUGUGGCGAAAGCGGCACCCUGGCCCACACCUGACGCUGAGGUGCGAAAGCGUGGGUAGCAAACAGGAUUAGAUACCCGAGUAGUCC
rnacentral:rRNA from 1 species